UCACCAAGGUGAUGAAGUUGCUGAUGCCAUACUUCCAGGAAAAGCCUCUAAGCUUCAGAUUAUACCGAAUCGUACCCCAAACCGACACAGGUGGUCAGGUAGAGAAUACUAAGGCGCUUGAGAGAACUCGGGUGAAGGAACUAGGCAAAAUCGUACCGUAACUUCGGGAGAAGGUACGCUCCGAUUGGUGAUGGGACUUGCUCCCUAAGCUGAUUGGAGCCGCAGUGACCAGGUGGCUGGGACUGUUUAUUAAAAACACAGCACUGUGCAAAAUCGCAAGAUGACGUAUACGGUGUGACACCUGCCCGGUGCCGGAAGGUUAAUUGAUGGGGUUAUCUUCGGAGAAGCUCUUGAUCGAAGCCCCGGUAAACGGCGGCCGUAACUAUAACGGUCCUAAGGUAGCGAAAUUCCUUGUCGGGUAAGUUCCGACCUGCACGAAUGGUGUAACCAUGGCCACGCUGUCUCCACCCGAGACUCAGUGAAAUUGAAAUCGCAGUGAAGAUGCUGUGUACCCGCGGCUAGACGGAAAGACCCCGUGAACCUUUACUACAGCUUGGCACUGAACAUUGAACCUACAUGUGUAGGAUAGGUGGGAGACUUAGAAGCAGAGACGCUAGUUUUUGUGGAGUCGUCCUUGAAAUACCACCCUUGUAGUUUUGAUGUUCUAACGUUGGCCCCUGAAUCGGGGUUACGGACAGUGCCUGGUGGGUAGUUUGACUGGGGCGGUCUCCUCCCAAAGAGUAACGGAGGAGCACGAAGGUUGGCUAAGUACGGUCGGACAUCGUACGGUUAGUGUAAUGGUAGAAGCCAGCUUAACUGCGAGACAGACACGUCGAGCAGGUACGAAAGUAGGUCAUAGUGAUCCGGUGGUUCUGAAUGGAAGGGCCAUCGCUCAACGGAUAAAAGGUACUCCGGGGAUAACAGGCUGAUACCGCCCAAGAGUUCAUAUCGACGGCGGUGUUUGGCACCUCGAUGUCGGCUCAUCACAUCCUGGGGCUGAAGUCGGUCCCAAGGGUAUGGCUGUUCGCCAUUUAAAGUGGUACGCGAGCUGGGUUUAGAACGUCGUGAGACAGUUCGGUCCCUAUCUGCCGUGGGCGUUUGAGAAUUGAGAGGGGUUGCUCCUAGUACGAGAGGACCGGAGUGAACGAACCGCUGGUGUUCGGGUUGUCAUGCCAAUGGCAUUGCCCGGUAGCUACGUUCGGAACUGAUAAGCGCUGAAAGCAUCUAAGCGCGAAGCAGGCCUCGAGAUGAGUUCUCACUAGACUUUUAAAGUCUCUGAAGGGCCGUUGAAGACUACAACGUUGAUAGGCAAGAUGUGGAAGUGGUGUGAGCCAUUAAGCUAACUUGUACUAAUUACCCGUGAGGCUUAACCAUACAACGCCAAACGCGUUUUAUGUGAUAGUUUAAGC
rnacentral:rRNA from 1 species